UUGAAGCACCAGUUCUCGUACGGUCACAGAAGUUAAGCAACAUCGAAUCUGGUUGGUAGCUAAGUGGGUGACCGCUUGGGAAUAUCAGGUGU